rnacentral:rRNA from 1 species
UACGGGGGGGGCAAGCGUUGUUCGGAAUUACUGGGCGUAAAUGGCUCGUAGGUGGCCAACUAAGUCAGACGUGAAAUCCCUCGGCUUAACCGGGAACUGCGUCUGAUACUGGAUGGCUUGAGUUCGGGAGAGGGAUGCGGAAUUCCAGGUGUAGCGGUGAAAUGCGUAGAUAUCUGGAGGAACACCGGUGGCGAAGGCGGCAUCCUGGACCGACACUGACACUGAGGAGCGAAAGCCAGGGGAGCAAACGGG